rnacentral:rRNA from 1 species
UACGUAGGGGGCAAGCGUUAUCCGGAUUUAUUGGGUUUAAAGGGUGCGUAGGCGGUCGGAUAAGUUAGAGGUGAAAUCCCGGGGCUCAACUUCGGAAUUGCCUCUGAUACUGUUCGGCUAGAGAGUAGUUGCGGUAGGCGGAAUGUAUGGUGUAGCGGUGAAAUGCUUAGAGAUCAUACAGAACACCGAUUGCGAAGGCAGCUUACCAAACUAUAUCUGACGUUGAGGCACGAAAGCGUGGGGAGCAAACAGG